UACAGAGGGUGCGAGCGUUAAUCGGAAUUACUGGGCGUAAAGCGUGCGUAGGCGGCUAUCUAAGUCGGGUGUGAAAGCCCCGGGCUCAACCUGGGAAUUGCAUUCGAGACUGAAUAGCUAGGGUGCGGUAGAGGGAAGCGGAAUUUCCGGUGUAGCGGUGAAAUGCGUAGAUAUCGGGAGGAACACCAAUGGCGAAGGCAGCUCGCUGGGACGUUACUGACGCUGAGACGCGAAAGCGUGGGGAGCAAACAGG
rnacentral:rRNA from 1 species